UCACGAACGGGGCGAUUGGACGCUGAGGCACGAAAAGCGUGGGGGAUCAAAACAGGGAUUAGAUACCCUGGUAGUCCACGCAGUAAACGAUGAUAACUAACCGUUGGUUUUACGGAAUCAGUGCCAAGCGAAAGCGAUAAGUUAUCCACCUGGGGAGUACGACCGCAAGGUUGAAACUCAAAGGAAUUGACGGGGGCCCGCACAAGCGGAGGAACAUGUGGUUUAAUUCGAUGAUACGCGAGGAACCUUACCCGGGCUCGAACGGCAGAGGAACAAUCCAGAGAUGGUGCGGCCCUACGGGGCUUCUGUCGAGGUGCUGCAUGGUUGUCGUCAGCUCGUGCCGUGAGGUGUCGGCUCAAGUGCCAUAACGAGCGCAACCCUUGCCGGUAGUUACCAGCAUGUAAUGAUGGGGACUCUACCGGGACUGCCACGGCAAGGUGUGAGGAAGGGGGGGAUGACGUCAAAUCAGCACGGCCCUUACUGCCGGGCGGACACACAGUUACAAUGGCGGUGAAAGAGGGGAGCUAGCUGGUGACAGGAUGGGAAUCUCGAAAAGCCCCUCAGUUCGGAUUGGAGUCACAACCCAACCCCGUGAAGCGG
rnacentral:rRNA from 1 species